ensembl:lncRNA
AUGUGAAGCACUUUGAGUCUGCCUUGUGUAUGAAAAGUGCUAUAUAAAUAAAGUUGCCUUGCCUUGCCUUGCCUUGCCUAAAAGCUGGCAACCAUUAUACACUGAAUUAUUUCUUUUUUCCAAAAUAGUUUUCCUCAACCAGAGCAUGCAUGCAUUUCUGGACAAGGACAGGACCAUGCCAUUUAUUGGUAGUCUGUACCAGCUGGACCACAGACCAGGACAGUAUUAUGUAGACGAGGGCCUCAUGGUGGCUGCAACCAUACACACGAUGGAUUGCACUUGCACGGAUACCUGCAAUAUCCAUCCAAAUCCACCAAGGCAGUUGAACGAGGUGUUUGAUAGAGCUCAAACCCUCUUCCUCAUCCACCUGAUGGGCGUUCAUCUUGCGGUAGAGGGCGAGGGACCAGCAAAGACCAUUGAUGACCUCAACCGGAGGAUGAGGUUGGGGAAGAAAACCAAAAAAACUGCUGUGGGAAGAGAUGGCUGCAAAGCUUUCCACACAGUUUGGGGAGGACUUCCACCCCGACAAGGUGGCGCGGAAGUGGUUGACAUUGGUGCAGGGCUACAAAAAGGUCAAAGACCACAAUGCUACCACUGGAAGGGGACCUGGCCGCUUCCAGUUUUUAACGGAGAUGGAAGAGCUGCUGGGGGGGCAUCAUGAUGUUGACCCACCUGUCCUUGCGGGCGAUGGGCAUGGUGUGGUGGUACGUCGACCAGACGCACUGCGUCGGUCGAACAGUGCCCCCACACCAGUGUCAGAGGACAGGGCUCCCCCCAGCUGUGGCUUCCACCAGCACAGCUUCUUCAACCCCACCCACAAGAGCUCCCUCACCAGUGUGGUCCACGAGCUCCAUCUCCCCGUCUCCUAAUACUUCAACUCCAGUGCCCAAUGAGACACCGAGGCCACGGAAGCGUCCAACAAAGCAGGAUGAGCUGGUGGCCUACCUAAAGUCAUCUGAUGAGGAGAGGGCUGAUGCUCUGAAGCGGCAGGAGGACUUCAUGAAGGACACCCUGCGGGAGAUGAGGGAAGAUCGGCGGGAGCUCCUCACCCAGUUUACAAGGAUGGUGGACAAGAUGUGAGGCGAUAAUCCUGUCCAUUUAAGUUCAAUGCUUUAAGCAUUUAAGUUCCAAGUUCAUUCAAGUUAAAUUAACCUUUGUUUUGCACUAUUUUUUACUUUAAUAUUUAUUUGCAUUUAUUUUAUACAAACAAUUUGCACUUUAUUACCAA